GACGAACCGUCCAAACGUUAUUCGGAAUCACUGGGCUUACAGAGUUCGUAGGCGGUCCCAAAAGUUAGGUGUGAAAUCCCUCGGCUCAACCGAGGAACUGCGCUUAAAACUGUGGGACUCGAGGGAGAUAGAGGAAAGCGGAACUGAUGGUGGAGCGGUGAAAUGCGUUGAUAUCAUCAGGAACACCGGUGGCGAAGGCGGCUUUCUGGGUCUUGCCUGACGCUGAGGAACGAAAGCUAGGGGAGCGAACGGG
rnacentral:rRNA from 1 species